CCUACGGGUGGCAGCAGUAGGGAAUCUUGCCCAAUGGGGGAAACCCUGACGCAGCAACGUAGCGCGGAUGCUGAAGGCUUUCGGAUUGUACACUACUUUUGUUAGAGAAGAUGAUGACGGUAUCUAACGAAUAAGCACAGGCUAACUCCGUGCCAGCAGCCGCGGUAAUACGGAGGGUGCAAGCGUUCCUCGGAAUCACUGGGCGUAAAGAGCGCGUAGGCGGGAUAGCAAGUCAGAGGUGAAAUCCUAUGGCUUAACCAUAGAACUGCAUUUGAUACUGUUAUUCUAGAGUAUGGGAGAGGUAGGUGGAAUUCUUGGUGUAGGGGUAAAAUGCGUAGAGAUCAAGAGGAAUACUCAUUGCGAAGGCGACCUGCUAGAACAUAACUGACGCUGAUGCGCGAAAGCGUGGGGAGCAAACAGGAUUAGAUACCCGUGUAGUC
rnacentral:rRNA from 1 species